rnacentral:rRNA from 1 species
GACGAACGCUGGCGGCGUGCUUAACACAUGCAAGUCGAACGGAAAGGCCCUGUUUUUGUGUGGUGCUCGAGUGGCGAACGGGUGAGUAACACGUGAGUAACCUGCCCUUGACUUUGGGAUAACUUCAGGAAACUGGGGCUAAUACCGGAUAGGAGCUCCUGCUGCAUGGUGGGGGUUGGAAAGUUUCGGCGGUUGGGGAUGGACUCGCGGCUUAUCAGCUUGUUGGUGGGGUAGUGGCUUACCAAGGCUUUGACGGGUAGCCGGCCUGAGAGGGUGACCGGCCACAUUGGGACUGAGAUACGGCCCAGACUCCUACGGGAGGCAGCAGUGGGGAAUAUUGCACAAUGGGCGGAAGCCUGAUGCAGCAACGCCGCGUGCGGGAUGACGGCCUUCGGGUUGUAAACCGCUUUCGCCUGUGACGAAGCGUGAGUGACGGUAAUGGGUAAAGAAGCACCGGCUAACUACGUG